rnacentral:rRNA from 1 species
GACGAACGCUGGCGGCGUGCCUAAUACAUGCAAGUUGAGCGAUGAAGAUUGGUGCUUGCACCAAUUUGAAGAGCAGCGAACGGGUGAGUAACGCGUGGGGAAUCUGCCUUUGAGCGGGGGACAACAUUUGGAAACGAAUGCUAAUACCGCAUAACAACUUUAAACAUAAGUUUUAAGUUUGAAAGAUGCAAUUGCAUCACUCAAAGAUGAUCCCGCGUUGUAUUAGCUAGUUGGUGAGGUAAAGGCUCACCAAGGCGAUGAUACAUAGCCGACCUGAGAGGGGGAUCGGCAACAUUGGGACUGAAAAACGGCCAAAACUCCUAGGGGGGGCAGAAGUAGGGAAUUUUCGGAAAUGGGCGAAAGUCUGACCGGGAAACGCCGGGGGAGGGAAAAAGGUUUUGGGAUCUAAAAACCUUGUUGGGAGAAAAAAACGGGGGGGAGGGGGGAAAGCCAAAAAAGUGACGGUAAAUACCAAAAAAGGGAAGGAUAAAUACGG